AGAGCGAACGCUGGCGGCAGGCCUAAUACAUGCAAGUCGAGCGGUCCCUUCGGGGGCAGCGGCGGACGGGUGAGUAACGCGUGGGAACGUGCCCUUUGGUACGGAACAACUGAGGGAAACUUCAGCUAAUACCGUAUGUGCCCUUCGGGGGAAAGAUUUAUCGCCAUUGGAGCGGCCCGCGUUGGAUUAGGUAGUUGGUGAGGUAAAGGCUCACCAAGCCUACGAUCCAUAGCUGGUCUGAGAGGAUGAUCAGCCACACUGGGACUGAGACACGGCCCAGACUCCUACGGGAGCAGCAGUAGGGAAUCUUGCGCAAUGGGCGAAAGCCUGACGCAGCCAUGCCGCGUGAAUGAUGAAGGUCUAGGAUUGUAAAUUCUUCACCGGGACAUAAUGACGUACCGGAGAAGAACGCCCGGACUAACUUCGCGCCAGCAGCCGAC
rnacentral:rRNA from 1 species